UGCCGUACCAGGCAGUGAUACAGCCCGACAAGAUGCUCUCAAUUGUGCAUCUGUAAAAGUUUGUGAGGGUCUUAGGGGCCAAGAUUAAUUUCUUCAGCCUCAUGAGGUUGAAGUGGCACUGUUGCGCCUUCUUCACCACGCUGUCUGUGUGGGUAGACCAUUUCAGAUGGUCAGUAAUGUGUACACCGAGGAACUUGAAGCUUUUCACCUUUUCCACUGCACUCCCGUCGAUGUGGAUAGGGGCGUGGUCCCUCUGCUGUUUCCUGAAGUCCACGAUCAGCCCUUUCGUUUUGUUGAGGGAGAGGUUAUUUUCCUGGAACCACUCCGCAAGGUCCCUCACCUCCUCCCUGUAGGCUGUCUUGUCAUUGCUGCUGACAGACUUUGUCCUAGCAAGGGUUUACCACAGCAUUUCCAAGGCAACCAUGAAGGACACAGGAAAAGAUGGAGCUAUGGCAUACUACUGUGGUCCAUUAUCACUGGUGAAGAAACAUAUCCUAAUACACAAUCGAGAGCAUCCUGUCGGGCUGUAUCACAUCCUGGUAUGACAAUUGCACCACCCUCAACUGCAAGGUUCUCCAGAGGGUAGUGCGGUCUGCACAACACAUCACCGGGGGCAAACUACCUUCCCUCCAGGACACCUACAGCACCCGAUGUCACAGGAAGGCCAAAAAGAUGAUCAAGGACAACAACCACCCGAGCCAUUGCCUGUUCACCCCGUUAUCAUCCAGAAGGCGAGGACAAUGACCCAACACACCUACAGGCUGUGUUAGGGCUAUUUGACCAAGAAGGAGAGUGAUGGAAUGCUGCAUCAGAUGACCUGGCUUCCACAAUCCCCCGUCCUCAACCCAAUUGAGAUGGUUUGGGAUGUGUUGGACCGCA
rnacentral:lncRNA from 1 species